rnacentral:lncRNA from 1 species
CUCAAGUUUGACUACAUUAAACCCUAGAUAUGGAAUUUAGUUCAUGAUAUAAAACAUGGAAACUAUCAAAUUAAUCAAGAACAACAUAAAGGAGAAAAGAGAAAAAAAACUAUCAUUGUAGUGAGUCAAUCUUCUUCGAUGUAUUGAUCUUGAUUUCUUCAUUGCUUCUUGCUUUCUUGUAUUGUUGAAUUCCCCCAUCAAAUAGGUCUUUAGGAUUAGAGAAGUGCUAUAAAACCAGAUUCAUUUGAACAGGCUUUGUACGCAAGUGUGUGUGGUAUUAUUUGUGCCAUUUUUUAAUUGGAUGGGAUCCAUCUCAUUGUGAGUAACCUGUAUAAAAUUUGGUAGAAUAGCUUUUUCCUUAGGAUUAUGUAUAUAGUAUCUUGAAGUGUUGGAAUCGUGAGGGACGAGUAGGGCUUUAGAAGAAGUCCAAAAAUUUCGGAACACUUGUUCUCGCCGAUGGCAGUGGCUUCACAAUACCGCGGCUCCACGAUUUGUAUCUAUGCUGGCUCGUGGCGCCUGGGCACCAGCUUGCUGGAACUUUUCUAUUUACUGAGUCCCUGGACUCUCAGUUGCUGAAGAUAUUUUUUCUUUGGCGCUUAGGCACUAUUGAGGUAGCGUCUUGGCGCUGCACUUCUCGUUCACUUCAAGUUAUUCACAUGCUUGUUUGGCCUCUUUCUUUGCAACGGUCGCAUAUUUUUGUUCCUUCUUUUCUUCUCAGCUUAUUUCAUCGCGUCAUCAACAUCAUCUUUGGUUCAUUUUCAAGCUCCA